UACGUAGGGUGCGAGCGUUAAUCGGAAUUACUGGGCGUAAAGCGUGCGCAGGCGGUUCGUUGUGUCCGUCGUGAAAGCCCCGGGCUUAACCUGGGAACUGCGAUGGAAACUAGCGAGCUGGAGUGUGGCAGAGGGGGGUGGAAUUCCGCGUGUAGCAGUGAAAUGCGUAGAGAUGCGGAGGAACACCGAUGGCGAAGGCGGCCCCCUGGGCUAACACUGACGCUCAGGCACGAAAGCGUGGGGAGCAAACAGG
rnacentral:rRNA from 1 species